rnacentral:rRNA from 1 species
UAGAGUUUGAUCAUGGCUCAGGACGAACGCUGGCGGCGUGCUUAACACAUGCAAGUCGAGCGGAAAGGCCCUUCGGGGUACUCGAGCGGCGAACGGGUGAGUAACACGUGAGCAACCUGCCCUAGGCUUUGGGAUAACCCCGGGAAACCGGGGCUAAUACCGAAUAUGACCUGCGGUCGCAUGACUGUUGGUGGAAAGUUUUUCGGCCUGGGAUGGGCUCGCGGCCUAUCAGCUUGUUGGUGGGGUGAUGGCCUACCAAGGCGACGACGGGUAGCCGGCCUGAGAGGGCGACCGGCCACACUGGGACUGAGACACGGCCCAGACUCCUACGGGAGGCAGCAGUGGGGAAUAUUGCACAAUGGGCGGAAGCCUGAUGCAGCGACGCCGCGUGAGGGAUGACGGCCUUCGGGUUGUAAACCUCUUUCAGCAGGGACGAAGCGUAAGUGACGGUACCUGCAGAAGAAGCGCCGGCCAACUACGUGCCAGCAGCCGCGGUAAGACGUAGGGCGCGAGCGUUGUCCGGAUUUAUUGGGCGUAAAGAGCUCGUAGGCGGCUUGUCGCGUCGACUGUGAAAACCCGCAGCUCAACUGCGGGCCUGCAGUCGAUACGGGCAGGCUAGAGUUCGGUAGGGGAGACUGGAAUUCCUGGUGUAGCGGUGAAAUGCGCAGAUAUCAGGAGGAACACCGGUGGCGAAGGCGGGUCUCUGGGCCGAUACUGACGCUGAGGAGCGAAAGCGUGGGGAGCGAACAGGAUUAGAUACCCUGGUAGUCCACGCUGUAAACGUUGGGCGCUAGGUGUGGGGGGCCUCUCCGGUUCUCUGUGCCGCAGCUAACGCAUUAAGCGCCCCGCCU